rnacentral:rRNA from 1 species
UACGUAGGGCGCAAGCGUUGUCCGGAAUUAUUGGGCGUAAAGAGCUCGUAGGCGGUUUGUCGCGUCUGCUGUGAAAGCCGGGGCUCAACCCCGGGUCUGCAGUGGGUACGGGCAGACUAGAGUGCAGUAGGGGAGACUGGAAUUCCUGGUGUAGCGGUGAAAUGCGCAGAUAUCAGGAGGAACACCGAUGGCGAAGGCAGGGUCUCUGGCUGUUACUGACGCUGGAGGAGCGAAAGCAUGGGGAGCGAACAGGAUUAGAUACCCCGGUAGUCC